UACUUUUUGACGAAGAAAUCGAUCGCACAGUUCGCAGAAACCAAAGAGAAAUAAGGUGAAGCUUAAGAUACAUAGAGAACGAGCAAGAAGACGAUACUCAACCCCCAACCGAAGAGAUGGCUGAAAACCAAGACAAUCAGCUACCUCUUGUAAUUGCGGUUAAUCAAAAUCCUGCUCCACGCACUAUGUAUGAUUAUGUUAAACCUUUG
rnacentral:lncRNA from 1 species